rnacentral:rRNA from 1 species
GCAUGAAGCCGGAAUCGCUAGUAAUCGCGGAUCAGCACGCCGCGGUGAAUACGUUCCCGGGCCUUGUACACACCGCCCGUCACACCACGAGAGGUUGUAACACCCGAAGUCGGUGAGGUAACCUUUUUGGAGCCAGCCGCCUAAGGUGGGAUAGAUGAUUGGGGUGAAGUCGUAACAAGGUAGCCGUAUCGGAAGGUGCGGCUGGAUCACCUCCUUUCUAA